rnacentral:rRNA from 1 species
UACGUAGGUGGCAAGCGUUUGUCCGGAAUUAUUGGGCGUAAAGCGCGCGCAGGCGGCCUCUUAAGUCUGAUGUGAAAGCCCCCGGCUCAACCGGGGAGGGCCAUUGGAAACUGGGAGGCUUGAGUAUAGGAGAGAAGAGUGGAAUUCCACGUGUAGCGGUGAAAUGCGUAGAGAUGUGGAGGAACACCAGUGGCGAAGGCGACUCUUUGGCCUAUAGCUGACGCUGAGGCGCGAAAGCGUGGGGAGCAAACAGG